UGGCAACGGGUCGGUCACAGAGAGAGAAAGAAAAAAGACAGAAUACCCGUUGUUUUAAGUUAUUCUUCAACGGGCUUUCAGCAUUAAGCGCUAAAUUAACAACACCUACGUCUCCAGGUUUCGUUUUGUGAGCGGACUACACACUUCCGGUUACAUUUCUAACGACAGCAGUCUUGGCAGGCGGUUACACGGAGUUGCUAUGACAACAAUGAACAAACCGCAAACUAGCUCUCGCCUCGUUCCUUAUAAACACUCAGCCAGAUGGAGGGAAGUCAGCGCUGGAAGACUCAUGAAAUCCCAGCAAUUUGAGAGUGCACCCCAAGGAAUCUCAUUAAAGCAGCUCCACACGUCAAUGAUGCGGCCCCGCUCUGCUGUUUUUCUUACUGAGCAGGAGCUGUCCAUGACGGAUUAACUGGAUAAUGGUAUUGGUUUCACAUCAGCACUGCAGCAGGAACACCACAGUGGAUGUACCAGGAUACCCCGGCUCUUCCCUCUGCCUCCUGCUUCUCAGCUAAGUAAUUAUUCCUUAAGCCCACCUACCCAGGCAAACAAAAAUAAAAUUGAUUUCCCAUUAUGUGAGGCAUUGCUCCUGCUGUGGAGGUCCUGUAAGGGUGACCAAGCAGGUGCAAACAUGUCUAACCUGCGCGUCCUCGGCUGGUGUGUCGGAUUGCACGCUGCAGCCCUCUGGAGAAAACACCACCUAACACCAUUUCUCCACACAACAGUCGUUCAGGCUCAUAGUGACAGAGCGAAAGCUGAAUGUUCACAAUGGCACACUGCUGCUUUAAUUGAAAAAGACUUCCUGCUCUUACAGUUUAUCCCUAACUGAAUCUUCUCCAGUCUUUGACUUCGUUUCAGACUAAAUACAUCAAAGGAUGAUGAUGCUGGAUGAUUUUGCAUAUUUAGAUCCCAGAUCACUCAGUAAAUUAAUGCACAAUGUCAGAAAAGUAUUUUGGGAAGUGUUUUUAUGUUGUUAAGAAAGGGGCGGAUGCUCAAACUUUCCUUGAUUAUGCUGCUCCUAAUUGGCUUGCAGUGUGGGAUACACAAGAGCACAACACACACACACCUUAAAGGACUGACCUUCAGGAAGAAAGUCAUAUUUUUCACUUGAAGCAAAUACGGACUCUGCUGCAUCAAUAUUUGGUCCCUUUACAUCAUGAAACAUAAAAGCUGCUGGACUGUUUUGAGUGCAGGAAGGAUGAUUCUUCCUGUAAACAGAAGGGCCCUGUCAAAACAAUAAAUGAAUAACAUACUCUUAUGAUAAAAAUAAGUUUAUUCAUGAAAAGCUUUCAUUCAACGUACUGAACGGUUACAAGGAAAUUAGAGACAAAAUAAGACAGAUAAAACAGUAAGAAAGUUCUGGUGUGUUAAUUAAAAAGUCUAAUUAUUGGUUAAAAAAGAUACAA